CCUACGGGAGGCAGCAGUGAGGAAUAUUGGUCAAUGGACGAGAGUCUGAACCAGCCAAGUAGCGUGAAGGAUGACUGCCCUAUGGGUUGUAAACUUCUUUUAUAUGGGAAUAAAAUGUUCCACGUGUGGGAUUUUGUAUGUACCAUAUGAAUAAGGAUCGGCUAACUCCGUGCCAGCAGCCGCGGUAAUACGGAGGGUCCGAGCGUUAUCCGGAUUUAUUGGGUUUAAAGGGAGCGUAGGUGGAUUGUUAAGUGAGAUGUGAAAGUUUGGGGCUCAACCGGAAUACUGCAGUUGAAACUGGAAGUCUUGAGUACAGUAGAGGUGGGCGGAAUUCGUGGUGUAGCGGUGAAAUGCUUAGAUAUCACGAAGAACUCCGAUUGCGAAGGCAGCUCACUGGACUGCAACUGACACUGAGGCUCGAAAGCGUGGGUAUCAAACAGGAUUAGAUACCCGAGUAGUC
rnacentral:rRNA from 1 species